rnacentral:rRNA from 1 species
UACGAAGGGGGCUAGCGUUGCUCGGAAUCACUGGGCGUAAAGCGCACGUAGGCGGCUUUUUAAGUCAGGCGUGAAAUUCCCGGGCUCAACCUGGGGGCUGCGCUUGAUACUGAUUGGCUUGAAUGCGGGAGAGGAUAGUGGAAUUCCCAGUGUAGAGGUGAAAUUCGUAGAUAUUGGGAAGAACACCAGUGGCGAAGGCGGCUAUCUGGCCCGUUAUUGACGCUGAGGCGCGAAAGCGUGGGGAGCAAACAGG